rnacentral:rRNA from 1 species
GUGUCAGCAGCCGCGGUAAUACCAGCUCUCCGAGUGGUGGGGAUGAUUAUUGGGCCUAAAGCAUCCGUAGCCGGCUGGAUAAGUCCCCUGUUAAAUCCAACGAUCCAAUCGUUGGUCUGCGGGGGAUACUGUCCGGCUUGGGGGCGGGAGAGGCCGCCGGUAUUUCCGGGGUAGGGGUGAAAUCCUAUAAUCCCGGGAGGACCACCAGUGGCGAAGGCUGUCGGCUAGAACGCGCCCGACGGUGAGGGAUGAAAGCUGGGGGAGCGAACCGGAUUAGAUACCCGGGUAGUCCCAGCUGUAAACGAUGCAGGCUAGGUGUUAGGGCGGCUACGUGCCGCUCUAGUGCCGCAGGGAAGCUGUUAAGCCUGCCGCCUGGGGAGUACGGUCGCAAGGCUGAAACUCAAAGGAAUUGGCGGGG